CCAUGUUUAUUUUUGUGAUGAAAAUGAUACAGAAAUUAAACAAAAAUAGUUAAAAGAAAAAGUGGAGAUAGAGAUAAAAAAAAUAGUUAAAAGAAAAAGUGGAGAUAGAGACGGUUUUCAGCAACCAUCUUUUUCGGCGACAAGAUUUAGUUCAUACAUCUUCCUUAUCUCUGUUCUUUUAAUCAUCCCAGUUCUUGUCUCUGUCGUCAUUCAACUUUUCAACUUCUAUUUUCAUAUACGUUGUGUUGGAUUUCUGUCACAAUCCAAAAAUUAAAGAAUUAUGAUGGCACUUAUCGCUACAAGCCUUGACAAGUAAGUCUAUCUCCCAAACUGAUAUGAAAGGGAACAACAACAUCAAAAUCCAAGGUAAAGCUUCUAGAGCAAACCCGAACCACACAUAUACAACAAUAACAGAAAAGUACAUAAUCAAAGAAACCAUAACUCUCCCAAAAUCUUGUGUCACAUUGUAAGAACCUACUAAUUACAUCUCGACAUCAAAAUGUACAACUGAUAGCUCAAAAAGAAUAUAAUUUGUCUUCGAAUACAAAACAAGACAUAAACUAAAUAAGAGGAGGUAGUGGAUCAACUCUGAAAACAUAGAUCGACUGCUACCUCAAAAAUACUUCAAACACUACCUGAAUCAACCAUCGUGCAACGCAUUUGUACCUGGAUCUGUACCGAAAGGGUGAAGUAUGGGUGAGUACGGUCCACUUGUACUCAGUAGGUCUUAUAGGCCAACUGAGUAAAAUAAAAAAUAAAGUAUAUAAAAUACACAAUAUGAGCACAUCACCUGUAGUUAAAAAAUUUCCCAAACGGUAGCCUACACCAUUUUCACUAACAGUUCUACAAUAUACACAUAUACCAAAUACAAGUACGAGAAAGAAGCACAAAUAGAUAAAUGUCAAAUCAAGAACGAAAUGCAACACAAAAUGUGCAUAAUGUAUAACAAUGAAAUGGGGUUAUUGCACAUUAUAUACCUAACGAGCUGUGCUCCUAAGGUAAGACCCAUGUGGGGUUCGUCACCCAUAUAUAAUGCAAUAAUCAAUAUCAAUCCAAUAUCUAUAACUCCUCUUCGGCACAUACAUCGCAAAGAAUUUUUAAAGAUGUCACAUUUUCUAUCAGAAAAACUAGUAUUUUCAAGUUGGUAAUAAUAUUUCAUGAAUGUAUAUGAUAUAAGGAUGUAAUAUUCACAAUCAACCAAAAUGAAAAUUUUCAAAUCCAACCAAUAUACCAACCAUGUGAGCCAUAAAUCCACUCAAUAUUUGAACCAUCCAUGAUCCAAUAUAGUCCAUAAACUAAUAGAGUACAAUAUACAAAAAUAUGCCAUUUGAUACCACAUAAAUAAUAACUUAGACAUUUUCCACCAAGAAGAAAACAAUGAAUUACAUGAGUACCAGGCCAAUAACAUCAUAUAAGACCCCACACGGUCACACACAGAAAAUAAUGUCUCAAAAUCACCAAAUAACAACAACAUAGGCCCACAGAGGGCAUAAAACAAUAAUAAAAUCAUUUUCAUGAUUAGUUUUCACACUCAUAACGUGCUUUUAUAUUAAUAUUAACUAUUCAACCCAGUUUGAAGAAAGCUAAGUCAUAACCUAUCUAGAAUGAAGAAAAUCAAGUCUGAAAGCCUUCAACACGGAGCCUUUCUCUCCCGAAUGGACUUGAAAACAACUAAAACAUAUAAAUAUAGAAUCUACGCAUCAAAAAAAAGUCAACUAUAUCCAUAUUGCCCAUUCUUGGAUUGCGGUCAAAACAGACCCUCGAAAUGGAUUUUCGAAAAAAAAGGGUAAAACUAAAACUUUAGUUCAAAAAUAUGUUACCCCUUAUUAAAGGAACCCACAGAAGAAAAUUCAAGUGAGAGUGGGUUGAAAUUGGGGUUUAAAUCGAAGAAUUACUAUUUUAGGCCUUCCGGGCUAAAAUUUUCAAAUUUCACUUUUGAAAUUGAGUUUUAACAAGAUUUAAGUGAAAAGAAUCAAAGAAAAAUAACCGAUAGAGAUUCGGAUCUUACCUAUGCUUGAAAAUAAAGAGAUCGCCCCAAAACUCUAAAACACUAAGCUCUAAGUGUCAAAAAUGGUGAAGAAUAAAAAAAGGUAUAUAUAUAUAUUACCCAGGUGUCGCUUAAACAAACUCUAGGCUACAUAAGCGGCCAAGUGCCGCUUUCGCGAGACCCACCCCAUCUGCAUGUGUUCGCUUAAGCAGACCUAAUGCCUCUUAAGUGACACAUGCUUAAACGAGCUGGUCAUCGCUUAAGCACCACUCGAUUGGUUAAGCCAGGUCGCUUAAGCGAACGGAUGGCCGCUUAAGCAACCUUCGCUUUAGUGACCCAAGUAUCGCUUAAGAGGAUGCACCAGCUGAGUGGUGCAUCAAUUGCAGACUUGGAGAAUUCGAAGUCUCUGCGGACCUCUCGAGAUUCAUCCGGAAUCCUAAGAAUUCAAACGAACUAUCCUACCCUAUAAAAUUUGAUGCUCCGAACUCAAUGGAGAUAUUGAAUUUUUGAAAAAAUAUCAUUUUCACAAAACUGGCCCCCCGAAAUCUUAUUUCACAACUUUCUAAACCGAUGAACAAAAUGUAUCGAAGUCAUGAAAUCACACCAACCAUGUUACCAACCUAAAAUCUACGUUUCGGAUCUGCUGGCGGAGUUUGUUUUGCAAUAUGAUGCAUAGAACAUCAAAUGUUGACCGAAGUCAACUAUAAAACCUUUUUAACCACCAAAAAUCAUAAACUUGCAAAAAUCACACGAAAAUGAGGUCAGAACCAUGCCAAUCAUUUUCAUAUCCUAAAAAUACCACAAAGAAACUACGGAGAGGGGUAAAAUGGUCAAAUUACACCAAAAUGAAUAAUUCACAAAAAUCACCAAAAAAAAUAAGUCAUUACUAUUCCUCCGUAGUCAUAGCAAAUUAACAGUAAGUUUUAAGUCUGGGAUACUAAAAUAAAGGAAAGGGGAAAAGAACGUGGGGAAAAUUAGUUCAGUAAGAGAGAGAAAAUAAAUUCAAAAGUCGGAGAACAAAAAGAAAGAAAAAUAUAAGGGAAAACCAAAAAAAUAUAUUUUAGAUUAAAUUCACACGUGUCAAUUAGUAAUUGGUACUGAUUAGUUCUUACUUUCUAAAAAUUAGAAUUGAUCCGGAAAGGAUGUAUUAAUCUUAAUUCAAAAUAUUUUAUGGGGAAAUAGGACCUCUGCAAAGUUAAAGUGUUACUUACAAAUUCGAGACAACUUUAAUAGUAAUUUUAUAUCUUUUUUCCUUAAAAUAGCCAUAAAAUUCUCAAAUAAGCGUUACACCAAUAUUUUCUAGUAAUUUCACAUCACCCAAUUUGUUCAAAUAUUAGGAACAUAGAAACGUUAAUGAAAGCCAAUAUUUUUCCAAAUGUGAGUUCGAGAAGAAUCACCAAGGUAAAUAAAUUUUUUUCCUCUAUUGACUUGGGUGUAAGCCAGAAAAUUAUUUUUAUUCAUACAAAGCCCAUCACCUAGUCACUCACACUGACCACACUAUUUAUUUAAUUUGAGAAAUGACCACAACAAUAAUACCAUUUGCUUCAUUCAAACUAUUUUUUGACUUAGCAGGAUUGUCAAUUUUCCCAGUUCUUCUCUAAAAAAUUUUAAUAUUGACUUUAAGUUUAACGUAACUAUAUUUCUCAAAUAUUGAAAAGAGAUAUUAGCAUGUCGACAUACCUUAUGAUGGAAUUAAAUGAUUAAAUGGUAAUCUACUUGCAACGUGUACACUUGACAAAAGAAGGUUUUCAGUCCAUUUUAUGACCAACUGAGAAUACAUAUACAUGGAGACCAUUUUAUGCAGGAUUCACGAAUGUUGUGAUUUCAAAUUUGGGUUGAUAAGGAUAUAAGUGUCUAGAUUGCUAGCUAUGUCUGAAGUGAAUUCAAAAAGAUUUGAGUAUCCGCACCUGUGAGAUUUGAGGUGUUCAAUAGAUAUCAAGUCAGAACAAGCAUGCAACUAGGUUCUUUACCUUGGAAAAUUGGAUCUGGAAGAGUAAUUUUAACCUGCAUAGAAAUGAACAACAACCGAAUCUCUAUAAGAAUUUUAUUUUUUCCUUACUUCGGGUCUGGUGGUGGUAUCAAUCUUAUUAGAGAUUCAGUCCACCAAUAAGAAGGAAGAGGAAAAUGACAAUGUUUAUAUGAGAUUGAAAGGGGAGAUACUUAUCUGAUUUGUGUAGAGGAUGGAUGAAAAAAAUUGAUUCCAGUUGCGGAUAGCUGAUAAGAUUUGCAAGAUAGAAGAAAAAUUUCAUAUAAUUCUCUAGCCUAAUGUUCAGAUCAUCUAAGAACUAGUUGAUUAACAUCUAGAGCUAACUGGGGACGGCGUUAAUUGUCUGAAAGAGAAUUUUAACAAGGCUGGAAGUUGAGGAAUUUUUGGACAAGAAGCUUCCCGGUUUUUUAAAGAUAUUUCCUAAAUGAUUUUUCAUCUCUGUAUCUUUUGUCUAAUUGUAAUUUGUUUAUUUUUCUUUGGGUCGGGUCACUUUUUAACCUGGCCCUUUCCUUAUGG
rnacentral:lncRNA from 1 species